CAACCCUGAUCAUCCAGUGAGCUUCAGAGUGUAAGAUCCAGGAUGGGAGAAUGGGCCAAUGCCACUCACAGCAAACACUACUGACAAGCUGUUAAUUUAGUUUCUGUCACUGUGAACCAAGUGCUUGGCCAGGGGGCGUUCCUCCUUCCAUGCUGUGUCUGCUCUGAUCUCACAUGACCCCUGCCAAGCAAAUGAGACCCAGACCCUUGACCUGACUCACUCGAUCUCUGUGGCUCCCAUCACAGCCCGGCUCCUCCCAUACUGACAUACAGCUGAGUCUGUUCACUCAGGUGCUGACUGUAGAGGGUGCUGAAAUAUCAC